AGGACGAACGCUGGCGGCGUGCUUAACACAUGCAAGUCGAACGGUGAAGCCCUUCGGGGUGGAUCAGUGGCGAACGGGUGAGUAACACGUGAGCAAUCUGCCCUUGACUCUGGGAUAACUUCGGGAAACCGGAGCUAAUACCGGAUAUGACAUGCGACCGCAUGGUCUGUGUGUGGAAAGAUUUAUCGGUUGGGGAUGAGCUCGCGGCCUAUCAGCUUGUUGGUGGGGUAAUGGCCUACCAAGGCGACGACGGGUA
rnacentral:rRNA from 1 species